AACGAACGCUGGCGGCAGGCUUAACACAUGCAAGUCGAACGCAUCGCAAGAUGAGUGGCGGACGGGUGAGUAACGCGUGGGAACAUACCCUUUUCUACGGAAUAGCUCUGGGAAACUGGAAUUAAUACCGUAUACGCCCUACGGGGGAAAGAUUUAUCGGGGAAGGAUUGGCCCGCGUUGGAUUAGCUAGUUGGUGGGGUAAAGGCCUACCAAGGCGACGAUCCAUAGCUGGUCUGGGAGGAUGAUCAGCCACAUUGGGACUGAGACGCGGCCCAAACUCCUACGGGAGGCAGCAGUGGGGAGUAUUGGACAAUGGGCGCAAGCCUGAUCCAGCCAUGCCGCGUGAGUGAUGAAGGCCUUAGGGUUGUAAAGCUCUUUCACCGAUGAAGAUAAUGACGGUAGUCGGAGAAGAAGCCCCGGCUAACUUCGUGCCAGCAGCCGCCGUAAGAC
rnacentral:rRNA from 1 species